GGUCUCCCAAGUUUGGGGUUUUUUAGGUCGAAAUUUCCACAUCUAUGCUUUUCUGCAAAAAGAGAGUAUUUUGAUUAACAUACCUCCAAAUAUACGUAUUGAUUGGAUCUCGGAUCUCAAUCCACAGAGAGAAGAGGAAGAUUCUUGUACGAAUUAACCUAUUUGCAUUUCUGGGGCAUCCAUCAUCGACAUGGACGACGCUAAUGUGGUGGAAGCUAAGGAUGGAACCAUCUCUGUGGCCACUGCAUUUGUUGGUCAUCAAGAAGCUGUGCAGGAUAGAGAUCACAAAUUCUUAACUAAAGCAGUCGAAGAAGCUUAUAAAGGAGUAGAAUGUGGGGAUGGUGGUCCUUUUGGUGCUGUUGUGGUACAUAAUGAUGAGGUGAUUGUCAGUUGUCACAACUUGGUUUUGAGGAAUACAGAUC
rnacentral:misc_RNA from 1 species